AUUAACGCUGGCGGCGUGCUUUAUGCAUGCAAGUCGAACGGUUUUGAUUUAUCAAGACAGUGGCAGACGGGUGCGUAACGCGUAAGUAACCUGCCCCUAAGUGGGGAAUAGCUCGGAGAAAUCUGAGAUAAUACCGCAUGUGGUCGUUCACCGCCGGGUGAAUGACUAAGGCCGUAAGGCGCUUGGGGAGGGGCUUGCGUCCGAUUAGCUAGUUGGUGAGGUAACGGCCCACCAAGGCGAUGAUCGGUAGCUGAUCUGAGAGGAUGACCAGCCACACUGGGACUGAGACACGGCCCAGACUCCUACGGGAGGCAGCAGCAAGGAAUAUUGUGCAAUGGGCGAAAGCCUGACACAGCGACGCCGCGUGAGGGAUGAAGACCCUCGGGUUGUAAACCUCUUUUGUUAGGGAAGAAUAAUGACGGUACCUGACGAAUAAGUCUCGGCCAACUACGU
rnacentral:rRNA from 1 species